rnacentral:rRNA from 1 species
CCUACGGGGCGCAGCAGUGGGGAAUAUUGCACAAUGGGCGAAAGCCUGAUGCAGCAACGCCGCGUGAAGGAAGAAGGUCUUCGGAUCGUAAACUUCUGUCCUUGGGGAAGAUAAUGACGGUACCCUUGGAGGAAGCCCCGGCUAACUACGUGCCAGCAGCCGCGGUAAUACGUAGGAUGCGAGCGUUAUCCGGAUUUAUUGGGUUUAAAGGGUGCGUAGGCGGACGCUUAAGUCAGCGGUAAAAUUGCGGGGCUCAACCUCGUCGAGCCGUUGAAACUGGGUGCCUUGAGUGGGCGAGAAGUACG